rnacentral:rRNA from 1 species
UGAAUACGAGACGCUACGGCGUCGAAGCAGUCUAUGUCAGACUUCCAAGAAAAGCUCGCAAUGUCAUAAACAAAUAAUGCCUGUACCAUAACCGACACAGGUGGGUAGGUAGAGUAUACUAAGGGGCGCGAGAUAACUCUCUCUAAGGAACUCGGCAAAAUGACUCCGUAACUUCGGGAGAAGGAGUGCCUUAUUUAUAAGGUUGCAAUAACAAGAUCCAAGCAACUGUUUAUCAAAAACACAGGUCUCCGCUAAGUCGUAAGACGAUGUAUGGGGGCUGACGCCUGCCCAGUGCCAGAAGGUUAAAGAAGUUGGUUAGCAUUCGCGAAGCUGAUAACUGAAGCCCUGGUGAACGGCGGCCGUAACUAUAACGGUCCUAAGGUAGCGAAAUUCCUUGUCGGGUAAGUUCCGACCCGCACGAAAGGCGUAAUGAUUUGGAUACUGUCUCGGAGAGGGGCUCGGUGAAAUAGACUUGUCUGUGAAGAUGCGGACUACCUGCACCUGGACAGAAAGACCCUAUGAAGCUUUACUGUAACUUGAAAUUGAAAUUGGACUUUAUUUGCGCAGCAUAGGUGGGAGGCGUUGAGAGUAUUCUUGCGGGAAUAUUGGAGCCAUCAGUGAGAUACCACUCUUGUAAUGUUAGAUUUCUAACUUUGUAUCAUUAUCUGGUCAAAGAACAGUUUCAGGCGGGCAGUUUGACUGGGGCGGUCGCCUCCCAAACAGUAACGGAGGCGUACAAAGGUUUCCUCUGAACGGGUAGAAAUCGUAUCUAGAGUGUAAAGGCAUAAGGAAGCUUGACUGUGAGACCUACAAGUCGAGCAGGGGCGAAAGUCGGUCUUAGUGAUCUGACGGUGCUGAGUGGAAAGGCCGUCACUCAACGGAUAAAAGUUACUCUAAGGAUAACAGGCUGAUCUCCCCCAAGAGUUCACAUCGACGGGGAGGUUUGGCACCUCGAUGUCGGCUCAUCGCAUCCUGGGGCGGUAGUACGUCCCAAGGGUUGGGCUGUUCGCCCAUGAAAGCGGUACGCGAGCUGGGUUCAGAACGUCGUGAGACAGUUCGGUCCAUAUCCGGUGUAGGCGUUAGAAUAUUGAGAGGAGCCUUCUUUAGUACGAGAGGACCGAGAAGGACAUACCUCUGGUGUACCAGUUAUCGUGCCAACGGUAAACGCUGGGUAGCUAUGUAUGGAGAGGAUAACCGCUGAAAGCAUCUAAGUGGGAAGCCCACCUC